UACGUAGGGCGCAAGCGUUGUCCGGAAUUAUUGGGCGUAAAGAGCUCGUAGGCGGCUUGUCACGUCGGGUGUGAAAGCCCGGGGCUUAACCCCGGGUCUGCAUUCGAUACGGGCAGACUAGAGUUCGGUAGGGGAGACUGGAAUUCCUGGUGUAGCGGUGGAAUGCGCAGAUAUCAGGAGGAACACCGGUGGCGAAGGCGGGUCUCUGGGCAGUAACUGACGCUGAGGAGCGAAAGCGUGGGGAGCGAACAGG
rnacentral:rRNA from 1 species